UCGGGGACAACAAACAGAGAGAAAGAUGGGACGAAAGAGUGCAACAGGAGUCACCACCACACCGUGCCGUUGCCUUGUGGAGUUUUAGGUGUUUUCACUCAAUAAACAUACACAACGCCCGGUCUGGGGAAUCGAAUCCGUGAUCCUUCGAUCACGAGUCCGCUGCCCUUACC